GUUGAGGACCCUGCUUUCGGGCAGGGAGCGUACACAGGUGCUGCAUGGCUGUCGUCAGCUCGUGUCGUGAGAUGUUGGGUUAAGUCCCGCAACGAGCGCAACCCUGCAUUCAGUUGCCAUCGGGUAGAGCCGGGCACUCUGGACAGACUGCCGUGGACAACACGGAGGAAGGUGGGGAUGACGUCAAAUCAUCAUGCCCCUUAUGAUCUGGGCUACACACGUGCUACAAUGGCCGGUACAACGGGCAGCGAAGGAGCGAUCCGGAGCGAAUCCUAAAAAGCCGGUCCCAGUUCGGAUUGCAGGCUGAAACUCGCCUACAUGAAGUUGGAGUUGCUAGUAAUCGCGAAUCAGAAUGUCGCGGUGAAUACGUUCCCGGGCCGUU
rnacentral:rRNA from 1 species